GAUGAACGCUGGCGGCGUGCCUAAUACAUGCAAGUCGAGCGAACAGACGAGGAGCUUGCUCCUCUGCCGUUAGCGGCGGACGGGUGAGUAACACGUGGAUAGCCUACCUAUAAGACUGGGAUAACUUCGGGAAACCGGAGCUAAUACCGGAUAAUAUAUUGAACCGCAUGGUUCAAUAGUGAAAGACGGUUUUGCUGUCACUUAUAGAUGUAUCCGCGCCGCAUUAGCUAGUUGGUAAGGUAACGGCUUACCAAGGCAACGCUGCGUAGCCGACCUGAGAGGGUGAUCGGCCACACUGGAACUGAGACACGGUCCAGACUCCUACGGGAGGCAGCAGUAGGGAAUCUUGCGCAAUGGGCGAAAGCCUGACGGAGCAACGCCGCGUGAGUGAUGAAGGUCUUCGGAUCGUAAAACUCUGUUAUUAGGGAAGAACAAAUGUGUAAGUAACUAUGCACGUCUUGACGGUACCUAAUCAGAAAGCCACGGCUAACUACGUG
rnacentral:rRNA from 1 species